GUGACGCGCUUAGUGGAAACGUACCCUUAAGGCUGAUUAAUUGCGGCGGCUAUGUUGGAAUCAUGACAUCAGAAGCGAGAAAUGACACGUUAAUUUAUGGGUGCAUUCUGAUAUGCACUGCCAGCAUUAGCAAUAUUGGCAAGAUGAGGCAUUUGCAGUAGAAACAUAGCGGCGUCCUUGGAAGAAAUCUGUCUCAUAGAUGUUGAAAAUAAUAAGGAAUAUAAAAUAAUUAUAAACAGGUUGGAUGCGGAGAAAGCACGAACAGAUAUAAAUUUUGCUACCCAAUUA